rnacentral:rRNA from 2 species
GUUUAUUUGAUAGUACCUUACUACAUGGAUACCUGUGGUAAUUCUAGAGCUAAUACAUGCUAAAAACCUCGACUUCGGAAGGGGUGUAUUUAUUAGAUAAAAAACCAAUGCCCUUCGGGGCUCCUUGGUGAAUCAUAAUAACUUAACGAAUCGCAUGGCCUUGCGCCGGCGAUGGUUCAUUCAAAUUUCUGCCCUAUCAACUUUCGAUGGUAGGAUAGUGGCCUACCAUGGUGGCAACGGGUAACGGGGAAUUAGGGUUCGAUUCCGGAGAGGGAGCCUGAGAAACGGCUACCACAUCCAAGGAAGGCAGCAGGCGCGCAAAUUACCCAAUCCCGACACGGGGAGGUAGUGACAAUAAAUACUGAUACGGGGCUCUUUUGGGUCUCGUAAUUGGAAUGAGUACAAUCUAAAUCCCUUAACGAGGAACAAUUGGAGGGCAAGUCUGGUGCCAGCAGCCGCGGUAAUUCCAGCUCCAAUAGCGUAUAUUAAAGUUGUUGCAGUUAAAAAGCUCGUAGUUGAACCUUGGGUCUGGCUGGCCGGUCCGCCUCACCGCGAGUACUGGUCCGGCUGGACCUUUCCUUCUGGGGAACCCCAUGGCCUUCACUGGCUGUGGGGGGAACCAGGACUUUUACUGUGAAAAAAUUAGAGUGUUCAAAGCAGGCCUUUGCUCGAAUACAUUAGCAUGGAAUAAUAGAAUAGGACGUGCGGUUCUAUUUUGUUGGUUUCUAGGACCGCCGUAAUGAUUAAUAGGGAUAGUCGGGGGCGUCAGUAUUCAGCUGUCAGAGGUGAAAUUCUUGGA